CAAAUUUCCAAAGAAUAAUCAGACAAAACGCUUGCAUGGAGAGCACAUUCCUGACCGAUGGAAGGCUUGUGUCUUUGCAUAAACAUCUUCAUCUGCUCAUCAUAUUAAACAAGUAAUGAGUAUUGCUUCCAUUGUGAACUGGUUUAUUGAUUGAUUUUAGAAGUGCUGAAAAGAUUCCUGUAGGAACUAUUUAUUGUUUUAUAUAAUACUGUGGCCAAAGGCACAUAGUGACAUAUGGUGUUGAUCUUGGCUUGGUGGUGGAACUCGGUAUAUAUAGCUGGAAUUGUUUUGGGGGUAUUAUCUGUCAUAUUUAUUUUGUAAUUUUGUUUUGAAUGAAUUUAUUAGGACACAGUUUAUUUGGCAAAUUAAAUGUUUUGAUUGAUUGUGAUUUAAUUCUGCAGUAUGUCUAAGUAUUCAUCUUGGUUGGUUUUGCUCAGUUUUGAUCUUCAAUGUACGUCAUAUGAUUCUUGAGGGGCUUCAUCCUAUUUCGUUGUUACGCA
rnacentral:lncRNA from 1 species